rnacentral:rRNA from 1 species
UAGGGAAUAUUGGACAAUGGGGGCAACCCUGAUCCAGCCAUGCCGCGUGAGUGAAGAAGGCCCUCGGGUUGUAAAGCUCUUUUGUCCGGAAAGAAAAGCUUCGGGUUAAUACCCCGGGGUUCUGACGGUACCGGAAGAAUAAGCACCGGCUAACUUCGUGCCAGCAGCCGCGGUAAUACGCAGGGUGCAAGCGUUACUCGGAAUUACUGGGCGUAAAGCGUGCGUAGGUGGUUGUUUAAGUCUGAUGUGAAAGCCCUGGGCUCAACCUGGGAAUGGCAUUGGAAACUGGGCAGCUAGAGUGCGGUAGAGGGUAGUGGAAUUCCCGGGGUAGCAGUGAAAUGCGUAGAGAUCGGGAGGAACAUCUGUGGCGAAGGCGACUGCCUGGACCAGCACUGACACUGAGGCACGAAAGCGUGGGGAGCAAACA